rnacentral:rRNA from 1 species
AUUGAACGCUGGCGGCAGGCCUAACACAUGCAAGUCGAGCGGACGAACGGAGCUUGCUCCUGGCUUCAGCGGCGGACGGGUGAGUAAUGCCUAGGAAUCUGCCUGGUCGUGGGGGAUAACGUCCGGACACGGGCGCUAAUACCGCAUACGACCUGAGGGAGAAAGUGGGGGAUCUUCGGACCUCACGCUAUCAGAUGAGCCUAGGUCGGAUUAGCUAGUUGGUGGGGUAAAGGCCUACCAAGGCGACGAUCCGUAACUGGUCUGAGAGGAUGAUCAGCCACACUGGAACUGAGACACGGUCCAGACUCCUACGGGAGGCAGCAGUGGGGAAUAUUGGGCAAUGGGCGAAAGCCUGAUCCAGCCACGCCGCGUGUGUGAAGAAGGUCUUCGGAUUGUAAAGCACUUUAAGUUGGGAGGAAGAGCAGUAAGUUAAUCCCUUGAUGUUUUGACGUUACCUACAGAAUAAGCAACGGCUAACUUCGUG